ensembl:lncRNA
GCAGAAGGAAGGAACUCACGCCUCUAGUAAAAUAGUAUCUCACUCUCUCUCUCUCACCGCAGGUGGAUGGCACACCACGUGGCCCUCUUGCGCUAUCGAGUGUAAUUAUAACACAUUGGCUUUGGGCUUUAAAAUUACAAGCCUGCCCACGGAUUGUUUCAUCUUCUUCUUAAAAUAAUUUACCCCUUCAAAUCCGUGAGUAGGCCUUUAGUUAAGACAGAAUGCAGGUGUUACGGAGGCGCUUGUUGAACGGGAGGCACAAGGCGAAUAGAAGGCACUAGGACCGGGGAGAGUUCCCUCUCAGGAGCGCAGGCUAUGAGCAUCGCAUCCACAUAGCGGGGCUGUGGAGGAAACCCCCCCAUCGGAUCUGGCAAUACAGGAUACUUGCGAUUAUAUCCAUACAUUUAUUUUCCAGUCUGUGGCGUGGUGCGGUUUAGCGGAGUGCACAGUCCUGCGUUUGGGAUGGUUGGGCACACUCCAGAGAAUUCCUGAUCGAACCUCUUGGCAAAAGCGAGCAGGCAGAUUUAGGGGGGAGUUCAGUAGGCUACGCUCUUCCAUUGCCCCCCGUUCGUUUUGUAAAUGCCAUAUUUGUUGCCUUUUAUUUUGUAGUUGGUCAUAAUAAUUUCUUUUUUUUUUUUUUUUACAAUAGAAACCCCCUUUUCUUCGAUCUCUCAGUCUCUCACCUAAAUGCACGUCUGUUUAUUGAGUGAGCUUGGCACUUCUUCAUCCGUCUGAGAACAGAAACAAGAUCCACAUCUUUCUCUUUGGAUUAAACUUCCGUUUAAACCGCCGCGGCUAUCGUCCGAAUGGGUGAUCUGCUUGAAAUACAGUUCUUCAGUGGCACCCUGACACUCCAUGGAAACAUGUUCUCUCUGGCUGAUCCCCGUCGCUGUGAUGUCCAAAGCUUUCCCCACUGACUGACGGACGCUCGUGGAUCAUUUUGUAAAGCGAUUUGAAGGCUGUUAGGUCAAGGGGAAAAUGAGGCCUCCUAGCCCUCUCCUGAUCCUGCUGUAUGUCACCCUGUCCCGUGCCAUGAAGACAGUCUCCAAGAGAGGCUCAGGAUAAUCUUGAUCGUUGGCCAAUGGAACGGAUGGCAGUGGGAGUUUACUCGCUCUCCUACGAAUUCUCAGAUGGCAGCUAGACCUCAGCCCCCUUUUUCUCUGUCUUUUCUUCACGCAAAUGAUGGGGAUUUCGGCCUGUUCCCGAGAAAGCAGUAUAUCUUUCGCAUCCGACUCAUGAACAGAAAAAGCUUCUUCCAGUUUGAGGUGUCACCUGUUUUCCUCAUUAGUCCCUGGGUACUUAUUCCUGUGUUCCCUGCUUGUCUGUUGCCACUUCGUCUUGUUUGUCAUGUCAGCCAGUGUGGUCUUUCCCGGUCUCCUGCUGUUUCCUUCUCUCUGUUUUGCUAGUCCUCCCGGUUGAGACCCUUGCCUGUCUAGACUCUGAACCCGCCUACCUGACCAUACUGCCUGCCCAGACCCCGAGCCUGC